CCGUGACGUCAAGACACCGGGCGCGCAUGCGUGGCGGGCUCUCCUGCGCGGCCGAAGGGGCCUAGAACCGGAAAGGCUCUGGCGGCCCUGCAGCCUUGCUGGGGAGUGUUGGCAGUCAGGCUUCCAGACGGCCGGGUUUGCUGUGGAUAAAAGAGCUAGACUGAAGGAUGAGACGACCGUUUUACAGUGCUCUUAAAACAGGAGAUGAUCAUUGUGUUGGAGCUCUGUGAUGGAGGAGGAAAGCAGUAAAACAUGAGGUUUGGAAAGUCAUUUCAGUCUGCUCCCAUACUUAAAUAGUUUCAAGCCUCUGGAAGGAACUGAACAAUGUGAACAAGUCUGGUGAUGAAGCACAGAUUAAGUCCUUCAAAUAUCUUAAUUUCACAGUCCUUUGUCCCAUAUAAUAGAUGUAAGAAGCACCAAAACUGGAGCCAAGAUCUGAACAGGUAAUGUAACAGCAGGAACUAUAAUUUAAUCACAUCAUAUCAUAUUACACUUAUGUAACAUUCUAUAUUUUGCCUGUUGAUAUGUAACAUAGUUAAGUUUAUUACAAGCAUUAUUUCCUAAGACUUACGGUAGAAGUACUUCUUUUCAAGUAUUACCGCUUAUUUAAUAGUGUUUAUCUAUUUCUUAACAUUAAUCAGUGAUAAAUGUAUAUUAUGCGAUACACAUUGUGCCAUUUCUCCCUACCCUGUGUUAUUAACAAAAUCAAUUAAGAAAACCAAAACAUUAAAACUGAAACAAGGCUAUCAACAUCACAGAUGCAUGUCUGAGUAGGUCAACAGCAUUUCCCCCUUAACAUGAAGGUAUUUUCAUCAAAAAUGCUUCUUAUUUUUAGGCUAGUAUUACUUUAGCAGCAGCUGGUCUUCAGGACAAGUGGAUCAGAAGUUUCAAGUGAAAAUGACACUGAAUUACUCUGAGAAAACAUCAAUCCACAUUACUAAUGAAAGAUGCAAACUGCUGGUGUCACCGUAACAUAAAAAUUGUGUUUUCCCUUUCAACAUGUGAUUUAUUUCAUUUAUGUGAUGACAAUACUUUGGAGUUCUCAUGGCACAACCAAUGAGAUUAUUUGUUUUCAUAUUUAAAUUCUAACUACAAUAACUAGAAAAAAAGUCAGUGCCUCAGUGGCUUUAAACCACAUCAAUUUCAAUGUUUUUCAAAAUGAUGAUGCAAUUAAAUCUAUGCUUCUGCAACAAUAGUGCAAUACAAUAUCCUCUCCUGAAUACAGGAGCUGAGGUUUAUCCAAGUAGAAGCUUUAAAUAAGGUAGAUUGUUGCCAAAUAUGUAUCAGUCUCGCAUGUUUGAUAUAACAUGUAUUAGGAAAGCUAAAACUGACUUGUAAUCUAUACUCAGCUAAAGCUUCACAUAAGCAGCAAUGGAAAUGAACAGAGGUGCACUCAAUAUAAAACACUUUUCAAAACUACUCCAAAAAACAAAUGACAAAAAGUGGUUAAAGAACAACUGAACAUAUGUUGUGUGUACCACAUGUAAAAGGAAGAAUGGACCUUGUGGUUGCUUGCACUGUUUGAAUUAUGUGAAGGUAAAUUUAAGACUUAGUCCACUUCCAUCUCUCCAGAAGAUUUAGUAUGCUGGGAGCUGUCUUUUGUUGUAUCUGGUUUAGUUUCAGUCCCACUCUGUCCAUCCAUUGGUCCAUUGUGUUCACUAUUAGCUUUUGCUUUGUCUUCAGCAACCUCUACUUUCGGUUUGGGCUUGUAAAUGAUGGGGUUACAGAAAUUAUCCAGUUCCUAAAGACAUGAAGAAAAGUGAUUAUUUUAAAAAUACUACAGAAUAAGUUAUCAUUAACUUUCUAAAUUUCCACAUUAAUAGGACAUUCCUGAAUUUAUGUUAGCUCAGUCAGAAAACCAAGUUUCUUCAAAUACGUCAAUGAAGCAUUUACUUCAGGGUUAGUGCAUGUUAGUGUUGACAACGAACUCUUCAAUCUUUAAUAAAUUCUUUGUAUCUAAUUUUCCUAAAACCUGGUUCCUCAUAAUUUUCUUGUUUUCUUGGGCAGAAAUAAUUUUUAAUUCAUUCCUUUAAAUUAUGCCUAAUGCUCUGAGAAUUAUGUCAAAUAACACCUAUCUCAUAAAUUGAUAUUUACAUGAAAACAGCUUUAAUAAGUGGAAUUGUAGAACUA